rnacentral:rRNA from 1 species
GACAGAGGGUGCAAACGUUGUUCGGAUUUACUGGGCGUAAAGCGUGCGCAGGCGGUUCGCCAAGUCAGGUGUGAAAUCCCCGGGCUUAACCUGGGAAUUGCGCUUGAAACUAGCGGGCUUGAGUGUGGCAGAGGGGGGUGGAAUUCCACGUGUAGCAGCGAAAUGCGUAGAGAUGUGGAGGAACACCGAUGGCGAAGGCAGCCCCCUGGGUCAACACUGACGCUCAUGCACGAAAGCGUGGGGAGCAAACAGG